rnacentral:lncRNA from 1 species
AUAUAACAACCCCCUGGAGCCUGAGUCACCAUGGUAACGAGUGUGUGAGCUUUCUUCAGGAACACUUCAGGCCAGUUGAGAUCAUCAACUCAUCAACCGGCCCACGGCAGAUGUCUGAUAGCGACCUUUUGACAUCAGGAAGCUAAAAACUCCACCCUCAGGUCAUGCUAACUCUUGCCAUUUUGUGAACCUGUGUCCUAUGAAGAGGCAUGAAGUCUGACUAUGCUUGCACAGAUUAUCAAUUACCUCACCUCUCCUCAUCUCCAAUGACCUACCUCCACAUUUCAGACCACCUUGCCCCUCAUCCCAUAAAUAUCCUUGAGUCCCUAUUUUUGGGGAAGCAAAUUUGAGGCUCAUGCUCUCGCUUCCUCAUGUGGCUGCUUUGUGUGGGAGACAGUUGCUGUUCAAGAAGCAAACCCCAAACUCGCAGUGUUUCUGAACCAAAUGGAACUCGCCCUAAGUCUACACAGCGGGAACUUCUGCACGACUGAGAGUUUUCUAAUUAACUUCCUGAUAGAAUACAAUUACUAACGGAUAACUAAGAAAAUGUGUCAAAUUGAAGCUUACAUAUGUACUAUUAAAAAGCAAUUGUACCUGCAGAAAUUGUUUAGAACUACGAAAAACACAGGAUUUUUUGUGGAGUAUUUUGUCACAGACAUUAUUCAGAAUUGCAGACACAUGGUGAUCUAAAAAAAUGAACUGACUUCUAGUCAGUUGUAUUCCUGUGUUUAACUUCUCUACAAACCAUGUGUCCUUUACUGCCUGCACGAGGGGCGGGCUGGGCCCGCGACUCCGUCCUUCGUUUGCCGUGGUUUAAAGGACGGUCUUAACGCUGCAAGCUUCUACGUCUGUCCGUUUAAACUAACAGUCUUGAAGUUGAGUGUUUUUAUUUUAGAUCUAAGACCUCUCGAGAGCGAAAGGGCGAACAAACGGAAAGUCUGCUAAAUCCUUUUUCUCAGACAUAAAUGCUUAGGAUUUUUAGAGCAUCUUUUACAAAAUGAGAAUUUGAAGGAAAAAAUGAUGAACGGGGUUUUCCAAGUUCCAGAAGAGUGUUUGGCGCCCUCUUGUGGACAGUUUGAAAAUAGACCUAUCAGAUGCUGUAUAAAUAAAUAAUUGC